AUGUCCUAUGUGGAUCCAGAGUCAAGAAUAGCGGGAACAUGAGAUUUAGUUGACGAGCCUAAGAAAAUUGCUAUGCGCUAUCUUCAUGGUGCUUUCAUAGCCGACCUAUCUAUUAUGCUUCCAGUUCCUCAGGUGAUGAUAGGACGGGUUAUCCCUAAGUACAUUGGGGUAUCCGGUGCAAACUAUGCGAAGAAUUUGUUGCGUUCUACAGUUCUUGUUCAGUAUGCCCCACGUGUCUUCAGAUUUGUGCAAUUACUUGGUGGGAAAUCUGCUAAUGGAUUCAUUUUUGAAUCAGCAUGGGCUAAUUUUGUGAUUAAUCUUCUUGUAUUUAUUUUGGCCGGACAUGUGGUUGGUUCGCUUUGGUACCUCUUUGGAUUACAGAGUGUUAAUCAUUGUCUACAUAAUUCUUGGUUUGCACUUAAUAUAACAUCAUGUGCUCAGUUUAUAGACUGUGGGUAUGGCAUUGGUGGGCUGGACAGAAAAGAGGCAGCGGUGGUUCAACAAUUCGAUGUCAGUUUUGAUACUGCAAAUGGUUUUUUCAAAUAUGGAAUCUAUGAACAAUCUGUGUUGCUAACCACAGAACCUGCUAUUAACCGCUACUAAUAUUCGUUAUUUUGGGGGUUUCAGCAAAUAAGUACUUUGGCAGGUAAUCUGGUGCCAACCUAUAAUGUAUGGGAAGUUCUAUUCACAAAGGGUAUCAUUGCCUUGGGGCUUUUCCUUUUUGCGUUACUUGUCAAUAACAUGCAGAUUUUCCUUCAAUCACUUGGAAAAAGGUAA
rnacentral:rRNA from 1 species